rnacentral:lncRNA from 1 species
GCUUGCUAAGGUACUCAGCUCCCAGCAUUAAAAAAAUGCUGUUGAUAUACCAUUUUGAUUGAAAACACUUCUUUGCAAACCCUAGUCUUGGGAUAGGAGGAAAAUAACAACGGCUACGAUCACUACAACUGAUUUGCUAUGAUUCUCUCUGCUGAAAUUGAGAUAAAAUUUGCCACAUGCCACUCUGAAAUUGAUUACCUUCUCAACUCAGUCAAUAGCAAAGAACUUGGUCUCACUAAUUCAGAGUGGCUUAGGUCAUGCCUCCCGCUGACAGUGUGACGGAGAAGCCAAAAGGAGCAGCUCUAGGGAGGGGCAGAGAAGGCAGCUCUUUUAUCAGAAUCUUCCUCUUCUUCCCUUAAUGCACAAAUGGAUUGAAGGAGAGUGAAGAACGUGAAACAGUAGACACAGUUAAAUGAUUAUUCACUGAUAGCAGGAGAAUCAGGCAAAUCCCACCACCUGUUUAUGGCCUCCCAACACAGACUCACUGACCAGAGAAACCAUCAGUUGCUGCUACAACAUGGCUUGAUGAGUGGUGUCGGUCUGCACCUGAGAUCCAAACUUGAGAACCGGGCCGCUGAAGCGGAGCAUGCCAGACUUAACCACUACACCACGGGGCUGACACCACAGUGUUUUUAUUACUAAAUAAAAUAUUUUUCAU